rnacentral:rRNA from 1 species
CAGCCGCCGCGGUAAUACCGGCGGCCCGAGUGGCGGCCACUAUUAUUGGGCUUAAAGCGUCCGUAGCCGGGUUGGUUAGUCUCCCGGGAAAUCUGGCCGCUUAACGGUCAGAAUUCCGGGAGAUACUGCCAGCCUAGGGAACGGGAGAGGCCGAGGGGAUUCCCGGAGUAGGGGUGAAAUCCUAUAAUCCCGGGAGGACCACCUGUGGCGAAGGCGCUCGGCUGGAACGGGUCCGACGGUGAGAGACGAAGGCCAGGGGAGCAAACCGGAUUAGAUACCCGGGUAGUCCUGGCUGUAAACGAUGCGGACUUUGUGUCGGACAAGCUAUGAGCUUGUCCGGUGCCGGAGGGAAACCGUUAAGUCCGCCGCCUGGGGAGUACGGCCGCAAGGCUGAAACUUAAAGGAAUUGGCGGG